rnacentral:rRNA from 1 species
UUAUUGGAGAGUUUGAUCCUGGCUCAGGAUGAACGCUGGCGGCGUGCCUAAUACAUGCAAGUCGAGCGAAUGGAUUAAGAGCUUGCUCUUAUGAAGUUAGCGGCGGACGGGUGAGUAACACGUGGGUAACCUGCCCAUAAGACUGGGAUAACUCCGGGAAACCGGGGCUAAUACCGGAUAACAUUUUGAACCGCAUGGUUCGAAAUUGAAAGGCGGCUUCGGCUGUCACUUAUGGAUGGACCCGCGUCGCAUUAGCUAGUUGGUGAGGUAACGGCUCACCAAGGCAACGAUGCGUAGCCGACCUGAGAGGGUGAUCGGCCACACUGGGACUGAGACACGGCCCAGACUCCUACGGGAGGCAGCAGUAGGGAAUCUUCCGCAAUGGACGAAAGUCUGACGGAGCAACGCCGCGUGAGUGAUGAAGGCUUUCGGGUCGUAA